GACGAACGCUGGCGGCGUGCUUAACACAUGCAAGUCGAGCGAGAAAGCUCCUUCGGGAGUGAGUACAGCGGCGAACGGGUGAGUAACACGUGGGUAAUCUGCCCUCAGGAGUGGGACAACCCGGGGAAACCCGGGCUAAUACCGCAUGAUGCGUCGGUCCGAUGGGACUGCCGCCAAAAGGUAGCUUCGGCCUCCGCCUGAGGAUGAGCCCGCGGCGGAUUAGCUUGUUGGGGGGUAACGGCUCACCAAGGCGACGAUCCGUAGCUGGUCUGAGAGGACGAUCAGCCACACUGGGACUGAGACACGGCCCAGACUCCUACGGGAGGCAGCAGUGGGGAAUCUUGCGCAAUGGGCGAAAGCCUGACGCAGCAACGCCGCGUGAGGGACGAA
rnacentral:rRNA from 1 species